GUCGUACGAGUUCUCGUUGAUGAUCGGUGCUUGCACCGAGAUUCAACAUGGAACGAGUGGCGGACGGGUGAGUAACACGUGGGUAACCUGCCCUUAAGUGGGGGAUAACAUUUGGAAACAGAUGCUAAUACCGCAUAGAUCCAAGAACCGCAUGGUUCUUGGCUGAAAGAUGGCGUAAGCUAUCGCUUUUGGAUGGACCCGCGGCGUAUUAGCUAGUUGGUGAGGUAAUGGCUCACCAAGGCGAUGAUACGUAGCCGAACUGAGAGGUUGAUCGGCCACAUUGGGACUGAGACACGGCCCAAACUCCUACGGGAGGCAGCAGUAGGGAAUCUUCCACAAUGGACGCAAGUCUGAUGGAGCAACGCCGCGUGAGUGAAGAAGGCUUUCGGGUCGUAAAACUCUGUUGUUGGAGAAGAAUGGUCGGCAGAGUAACUGUUGUCGGCGUGACGGUAUCCAACCAGAAAGCCACGGCUAACUACGUGCCGGCAGCCGCGGUAAUACGUAGGUGGCAAGCGUUAUCCGGAUUUAUUGGGCGUAAAGCGAGCGCAGGCGGUUUUUUAAGUCUGAUGUGAAAGCCCUCGGCUUAACCGAGGAAGCGCAUCGGAAACUGGCAAACUUGAGUGCAGAAGAGGACAGUGGAACUCCAUGUGUAGCGGUGAAAUGCGUAGAUAUAUGGAAGAACACCAGUGGCGAAGGCGGCUGUCUGGUCUGUAACUGA
rnacentral:rRNA from 1 species